UGUAAGAGCGAGGGAGUAUCGAGAGGGA
rnacentral:piRNA from 1 species